rnacentral:rRNA from 1 species
CCUACGGGAGGCAGCAGUAGGGAAUCUUUCACAAUGGGCGAAAGCCUGAUGGAGCAAAGCCGCGUGCAGGAUGAAGGCCUUCGGGUUGUAAACUGCUUUUAUAAGCGAGAAAUAUGAUGGUAACUUAUGAAUAAGGAUCGGCUAACUACGUGACAGCAGCCGCGGUCAUACGUAGGAUCCGAGCAUUAUCCGGAGUGUCUGGGGGUAAAGAGUUGCGUAGGUGGCAUAAUAAGUAGCUAGUGAAAUCUGGUGGCUCAACCAUUCAGACUAUUAGCUAAACUGUUAAGCUCGAGACCGUUAGGGGUAACUGGAAUUUCUGGUGUAGGAGUGAAAUCCGUAGAUAUUAGAAGGAACACCAAUAGCGUAGGCAGGUUGCUGGGACGGUUCUGACACUAAGGCACGAAAGCGUAGGGAGCAAACGGGAUUAGAUACCCUUGUAGUC